rnacentral:rRNA from 1 species
UACAGAGGGUGCAAGCGUUAAUCGGAUUUACUGGGCGUAAAGCGUGUGUAGGCGGCGCGGUAAGUCGGGUGUGAAAUCUCGGAGCUUAACUCCGAAACUGCAUUCGAUACUGCCGUGCUUGAGGACUGGAGAGGAGACUGGAAUUUACGGUGUAGCGGUGAAAUGCGUAGAUAUCGUAAGGAAGACCAGUGGCGAAGGCGGGUCUCUGGACAGUUCCUGACGCUGAGGCACGAAGGUCAGGGGAGCAAACGGG